rnacentral:lncRNA from 1 species
AUGGGGCUGAGCACAGGGCCUGGCAAAGAUGAACAGCAGAGAGGGGAGAUGGUGAGGCUGGGGCAGGAUGAGGGAGGCGAGAAAGCCGCAGUGAGCCGGGCCGGCAGUCACGUUAGAGGCUUCAAAGGGGAGCACGGUGUAAAUAUUUCACCAGGCCCUGUGCAGAGCAAAGAGGCAGCAGCAAUUAGAGCCAGGCACGUCUGCUUGGAGCAGACAGGGGAGGGAGAUCAAAGCCGCGUGGCUGGAGCACCGCCAGGAGCUCACCUGGGCAACGUACCCUGCUCUCCUCCCCAAGGAAGGCUGUGCCACGCUGGGCACAGCCUGUGCCCUCCUUUCGCCCAUCUGCCCAGGGACUGGCGCUGUCUGCAUGCAGCUGGGGACACCAAGGCGCUACAGCCCAGGUCCCCUGCCCCGGGGGGAGUCGCUGCCCUCCCGACGGGGCAGAUCCAACCUCUCCCCUUGGGGAAGGCUAUGACUUCCAGCCUAGCAACACCCCUCUCCUCCCCAGCAGGGCUCAUAUCCCCCACCCAUCCUGGAGCAACCGCAGGACCUGGGCAUGUGGCAGGAGGCAGCUCAGGGCUCCCGAUGGCAUCCAGCCCCAAGCCCUGCGGCCGGGGAGCUGCCGGGGGCUGUGGAGGGCUGUGUGUGGGUGGCACAGCGCCCUGCAGAGCCGGGAGCUGCUGCACUGAGAGACGCAGCCCGGCAGCCCGCUCUCCUGUUUGUGACCCCAAAUUAAAUGGAAUAAUUCAUUUGCUCUGGCUUCAGAAAGGCAUUUGCGGUAAGUCUUGUGAAGYAUGCCUGGGCCCUGCAGCCGUGCUGCUUCACGGCACGCUUGGCACGGACGGGAGGGAUGUCACAGGCACAAGGCAGGAGAUGGUCUCCUGGGCUUGCUCUCUAAGGGUUGUUCCCAGAGAGGAGCGGGGCUCAGUGGGGACAUGGGGCUGUCCCCACAGGCCCAGACCCGGGGUGGAGGGCAGGACAGGACACGCGCUGUUAGGCAGCACCAGGCGCUCUGCCUGCAGCCACGUCUGCUCAGCACGGCGCUGUGGCACUCGUGCGCACCCUGCAAACCCCAGCCCGUGGCACAGCAACCUGCGGACAGCUCUGCCCGUCCCCAGUGCCACGCACGGCCAGGAGGCAAGUCCCGCCGGUGCCAACGGAGACUCCUUCGGUUGCAACGCAGAAGGGCUAUGGCCGGGUGCUCAGACCACAUCCGCAGUGGGCACCCUUGCCCAGCAGCCCUCAGCGCACGCGGGCUCUCUGGUGCCACCGCGGAGCCUCACGGGACGGCACCGUGGGCCGAGCCUGGCAGGAGCGGCGGUUGCUGAAAGCCGUCGGCCCUUGGUGCCACCACGCUCACCUUGCCCGCAGCGCCUGCGGUUCUCACGUGGCCCAUGGGGUCCCUGGAGGUGCAGCUAG